rnacentral:tRNA from 1 species
ACCAUGGCUCAACGUCACCGCAGUUUUAAACUUCGUUAUAUGUUGGAAUCUGUCACUACCACCAAACCUUGGCAUAACGAGCCUAUA